rnacentral:guide_RNA from 1 species
AUAUAAAACUAUCACUAACUAAUGGGCUGUUAGAUAGAGAGAAAUUUAACGUGU